AUUAUUAUAGCUGUAUGAAUUUCAGAAGUUUUAAUCUUGGAACAAGAAGGAAAUGAGUGAAAUUGUCCUAUAAACUUGCCAAAGGCGUGUUGAUGAGCAGAACUUAAUCUACUGGAAUGUCAAGUAUUGUUUGGAACUUGGGUUGUUGUGUUGUUUUCUGUUCCUGGGAAGAACAACCCAUUCACUGUCACUCCUCCAUCAACACAAAUUGUCUGCCCUGUUAUAUAAGAAGCUGCAGGUAGACACAAAAAUGCCACUAACGAAGAGACCUCCUCUGGCUCUCCAACCCGUCCUAUUGGAGUUCGGGAGAUGAUAGGGUUGGAAAAUAUUUCAAGAUUUAGAUCAGGUUCAGUAAAGGGAGUUCUGAUGAACCAAGGUGCAACACAAUUAGUCCUUAUAUUGUCUUUUGCCCAUUCACAUGCCAAAUUCUUAGUGAGCUGGUUCAUUGCAGCUUUGGUAGCUCCAUAGAUGGAGCCAAUAUUUACUGAUACUACUCCACUAACUGAAGAGAUAAAAACAAUACUUCCUGCCCCUGAAGCUUUAAGAAGCGGAUGUGCAAGUUGGCACAGGUGGUAAGCAGACUCAAAAUUGGUGCCCAUCAAAUAUGAGAAAUCCUCUGCUGUGCACUUCAAAGUGGGCUUUCCAAUGUUCGUUCCCACAUUGUUUAUAAGGAUGUUAAGCUUCCUAUUGAACAAAGUGGAGACUUUGUUCAUUAGGUCCUCUCUAUUGGCUUUAGAGGAUACGUCACAUAAUGUACCUGUGACUUCAAAACCCUUAGCUUCCCAUUUAUGGAUGCAAUCAUUCAGGUGGGAUUCAUUGCGUGAGCAUGUGUGCACUUUUGCCCCUAAUCCUGCCAAUUCCUCCACAAUAGCAUGACCUAUUCCUUUGGUUCCACCAGUAACGAGAGCCGUCAUCCCUUGAAGAGACCCCCUGCUCCCCCUUCUGCUGCUAUCCAACUCCUCCAU
rnacentral:misc_RNA from 1 species